UACGGAGGGUGCGAGCGUUGUCCGGAAUCAUUGGGCGUAAAGGGCGCGUAGGUGGCCCGGUCAGUUCGUGGUGAAAGCGCGGGGCUCAACCCUGCGUCGGCCAUGAAUACUGCCGCGGCUGGAGCACUGUAGAGGCAGGCGGAAUUCCGGGUGUAGCGGUGGAAUGCUUAGAUAUCGUCAAGAACACCGAUAGUGAAGACAGCUAACUAAGCUUUAACUGACGCUGAGGCACGAAAGUGUGGGGAUCAAACAGG
rnacentral:rRNA from 1 species